AUAACUGGCUGUAGAGUUAUUGUUUUUGCCUUUUGGAAGCUUCCACCUUGUGACGGGAAGAGCACUGUCAGCCCAACACAGAAACUCUGCCGCCUGGAGUCACGUGGAUCCAGAUGCGAAGGGACUCCAACGUCAUGCUAAGGAGUUUGGGCUAAGAAUUUGUACAGCCAUAUUACAGAUUUGGAAAAUGAUGUGAAGAGAAGCUAAGGGAUUUGCCACUGCCACUCAGCUGCCAAGGAUCAGAGACAUUACUUCUACUUCUCAACGUCC
rnacentral:lncRNA from 1 species